AUGUCUUGGUUCCUAUUCUUUCUUUCUUUUUUGCAUGCUAGGAUUUCAAGUCGAUUAUGAUCCUUUUAAAGUCGAGUGAUUAACUAAUCAUCCUCCUAGGUACCAAGUCAUAGGUAUACGAGCUGGAACAGCAAGUAGCAAGGGCUCUGUUUUGUGGGUGGAGGCUACCGAGAGGUCCCAUUUCAUGUUGAUUAGUUUCUUUUAUCCAGGAGUGAAGUUGACUUAUACGGAGUAUAAGAUAAAGUAUGAAGGUUCCCUUUGUUAGUUUAACCUUAUCGAGUCAAUUAUGACUGUCCAGGUAAUUGGCACAGUAAUUCCAACCGAAGCACAGCAGUGAGAGAUGGACCGGAGCACAACACUAAAAGAAAUACACUUCAUAAAUCCAUACCAAAUUGAUUUAGCUCCGGAACAAUAAUCCUACGUGCAACUAAACUUUUCUACAAAAAAUAAAGUCAAUUAUGGAUUACCUUGG
rnacentral:lncRNA from 1 species